CAGAACGAACGCUGGCGGCGCGUCUUAAGCAUGCAAGUCGAGCGGUAAGAUGGAAGCUUGCUUCUAUCCUAGAGCGGCGGACUGGUGAGUAACGCGUGGGUGACGUACCCUGUGACGGGGACAGCUCCUAGAAAUAGGAGAUAAUACCGGAUACGCUGAGUGUUGUCAGAGGACAUCAGGAAAGGAACUUUUGUCCGCACGAGGAGCGGCCCGCGUACUAUUAGCUAGUUGGUGAGGUAACGGCCCACCAAGGCAACGAUAGUUACCCGGCCUAAGAGGGUGAUCGGGCACAUUGGGACUGAGAUACGGCCCAGACUCCUACGGGAGGCAGCAGCUAAGAAUAUUCCGCAAUGGACGAAAGUCUGACGGAGCGACGCCGCGUGGAUGAUGAAGGCCGGAAGGUUUAGUAAAAUCCUUUUAUGACUGAGGAAUAAGCAGUGUGAGAGAAACGCAUUGUGGUGACUGUAGGUCAUGAAUAAGCAACGGCUAAUUACGUGCCAGCAGCUGC
rnacentral:rRNA from 1 species